AAAAGCUUUCUUUAAUUGAAUAAUUGAAUUUAAUUUUUUAGUGCAAAAGCAAAAAUAAAAAUUAGGGACAAGAAGACCCUAUGAAUUUUUUAUUAAAUUUUAUAAAACUUUAUAUAAAAUUUAAUUUAAUUGGGGUGAUGGAAAAAGAAUAAAUAUCUUUUUUUUUAAAAAAAAUUGGUUCCGUUUUUAGCGAUUAAAUGAAAAAAAAACUCUAGGGAUAACAGCGUAAUAAUUUUGGAUAGUUCAUAUAGAUAAAAUAGUUUGCGACCUCGAUGUUGGAUUAGGAUUCUUUUUUGGUGAAGAAGUUAAAAAAAGAAGUUUGUUCAACUUAUAAUUUCCUACUUGAUCUGAGUUCAGACCGG
rnacentral:rRNA from 1 species